GACGAACGCUGGCGGCGUGCUUAACACAUGCAAGUCGAACGAGAGCGUAGAGAAAGCUUGCUUUUUCUACAAUCUAGUGACAAACGGGUGAGUAACGCGUAAACAACCUGCCCUACGGAUGGGGACAACAGCUGGAAACGGCUGCUAAUACCGAAUACGUUCCGAAAGUCGCAUGACUAUCGGAAGAAAGGAUGGCCUCUAUUUAUAAGCUAUCGCCGGAGGAGGGGUUUGCGUCUGAUUAGCUAGUUGGAGGGGUAACGGCCCACCAAGGCGACGAUCAGUAGCCGGUCUGAGAGGAUGAACGGCCACAUUGGAACUGAGACACGGUCCAGACUCCUACGGGAGGCAGCAGUGGGGAAUCUUCCGCAAUGGGCGAAAGCCUGACGGAGCAACGCCGCGUGAGUGAAGACGGCCUUCGGGUUGUAAAGCUCUGUUAUACGGGACGAAUAAUCUUGUGGUUAAUACCCAUGAGAAGUGACGGUACCGUAAGAGAAAGCCACGGCUAACUACGUG
rnacentral:rRNA from 1 species